rnacentral:rRNA from 1 species
UACGUAGGCAGCAAGCGUUGUUCGGAGUUACUGGGCGUAAAGGGUGCGUAGGUGGCUCUAUAAGUAUGGUGUGAAAUCUCCCGGCUUAACUGGGAGGGUGCGCCGUAGACUGUGGGGCUAGAGUGUGGGAGAGGAAAGUGGAAUUCCUGGUGUAGCGGUGAAAUGCGUAGAUAUCAGGAGGAACACCGGUGGCGAAGGCGGAUCUCUGGGCCUUACCUGACGCUGAGGCGCGAAAGCUAGGGGAGCGAACAGG